ensembl:lncRNA
GAUGAUUCAGAGAAGAGAGAGCAUGGGAAUAUAUGGAGGGAGAAAGAUAGGGAGGCGGGAUGAUUAAAGACAGGAUGAAAGAAGAAUAAAAAAGAUGACAGAAGAGAGAAAGAAAGGAAUGAGGAGAAGAAGAGAAAAUGUGAAGAUGAAGAUGGAAAGAGUGAGCGAGAGACAUAAAAGAUGAGGGAGAGUAUAAGGCGCCUGUCUUUGAUCCUCUCAGCGGAAAAACAGAACACAGCUGUGUUUGUAUUGCUCACUUUGUGAGGACUCAGCUUCCUUAUGGGGACGAAAAACAAGCAAAAGGUUUACACUCUCCCUGCCCUCACAACCACCUCCCUGUCUUGCCACUUUGUUGCAACUCCGACAACCUUCCCAUCCCCAAGGAGAAGAAUGAUGGCUUUAUGGAGAAAGAGAAAAAGAAUGAACAUGAAAGAGGAACUGGUCAGGAGAAAAAGACAGAGAACACUUGUUUUGGCUCACAGACAGAACAACAACAAAGGUUUUUCCCCCCAUCCAGAGGCCUGUUUCAGGGAAACACCUCCACCCUUAUGUCCAGCCCAGGCCUCACAGGUUCGAAUCUGAAUAUGGAGAUAAGUCGGCGGCGUAUCUUCAGCCUUGAGCCUUUCCAUCAGAGCAGCAUCAUAAACAGCCGGCUGAAGAGAGGGAGGGAGGAGGACAGAGAGGAGGAGAUGGAGGUGGAGGAGGGGACGGAAAAUCUGAGCAAGAAAGCCAAAUUCACAAAUG